rnacentral:rRNA from 1 species
UACGUAGGGUGCAAGCGUUGUCCGGAAUUAUUGGGCGUAAAGCGCUUGUAGGCGGUUUGUCGCGUCUGCUGUGAAAUUUCGGGGCUCAACCCCGAACUUGCAGUGGGUACGGGCAGACUAGAGUGUGGUAGGGGAGACUGGAAUUCCUGGUGUAGCGGUGAAAUGCGCAGAUAUCGGGAGGAACACCUGUGGCGAAGGCGGCCAUCUGGACGGUAACUGACGCUGAGACGCGAAAGCGUGGGUAGCAAACAGG